UACGUAGGGUGCAAGCGUUAAUCGGAAUUACUGGGCGUAAAGCGUGCGCAGGCGGUUUUUUAAGUCUGGCGUGAAAUCCCCGGGCUCAACCUGGGAAUUGCGAUGGAGACUGCAAGGCUAGAAUCUGGCAGAGGGGGGUAGAAUUCCACGUGUAGCAGUGAAAUGCGUAGAGAUGUGGAGGAACACCGAUGGCGAAGGCAGCCCCCUGGGUCAAGAUUGACGCUCAUGCACGAAAGCGUGGGGAUCAAACAGG
rnacentral:rRNA from 1 species